ensembl:lncRNA ROCR regulator of chondrogenesis RNA
ACAGUUUAGUUUAGAUUCGUUUAGAAAAGGAGCUUGCUUCACUUCGCUCAGGGCAUAAGUGUUCUCAAGACUUUUGGGACCUGGUGGAUUGAAGACAUGGUUUUGCUGGCUGUUUGAUUCCAUUUUGGACACAGGGCAGUAAGGAAAGAAUGAUUCAUUUUGACUGUGAUUGCUGGGAAAGAUAUCUUGAAAUGGAGACUGUGAGUAUUUCCUAUUUAUAGGUUGCUAUUUUUGAAAUAAUUAUCAAGUUAAUCACAUGAUGUUGAAGAUAAAGGAGACAGGGUCAUUUGUCAAAUGUCUACCUGGAUGCUUUUCAGCCCUCUCCAAGCCAUGAGAUGGAAGAGUGUCCUUAUAUGAAGACUGCUGGAGUUCCAUUGGCUGCCUUGUCUCUGCUUAAUCCAUUAAGACAACGUUGAAUGUUCCCGGCUCAUAUAUUUAUAAAGGAAAAAAAAGAAGAAGGAAAAAGACUUUGAAAAAUGGAAGUGCCUCAGGCUGUGGCUGGUGUUUGAAGGGCUGCUCCACACAUAUCAAUCAUCCUUUGACAAGAUCUGGAAGAAAAAAAAAAACAACAAAAACCACCCCCCAAAAAGGUGAGGUUCCGAGAUGGUAUCUGGAUGAUGAACACAGAGAGAGCUUCCAUUGUUCCUCUUCUCCUUUGUGCAGAGGAAGCCGUUGGCUGAGUUCAGAAAAAUGUUAAGUGCAUAUCCCGGACCAGUUUGGGUCUCCAGACUGAAUGAAGCCAGUCAGCUGGGAUUCUGGUUGAGUCUCAGACUCAGAAGAAACUUGUGGGAUUAAGUGGUUUUUCUGGAAAAUAUUGGCUGAAAACCACAUUCACCCCAAAUUGCUGUGUGAAUGAAACACAUGGGUUUUCUUUGUGUUUUAAAUAAUUCCAGUGGUGGCCUCAAGCUUCUAUUUCCCUGUGUUUUUAUGGAGUUAACCAAAAUAGCUUUGUACAAAUAACAAAAAGUAUGAAAAAGUAUAUGCACCUUGUCAUUGCUUUGCCAAUUGGAAAUACUCUUAAGACAUAUGAACAACAAUAAAAAGCUGUGGCUUCAGCUUUUAAAAUGCUGAAGACAUGGCUUAUUGCAGAAUCUCUGUCUUAUAUUUGGUUACUUUUCAGUUUUUUUAUUUGCCUAUUUCAAGCAUGACAUUUUUCUACUUCUCACAUAGAAAGUAUUCAGUUAUAGUCUUCAAAUAUAUUUAAUUGUAUCUGAUGCUCAAAUGUGCCACAUUCUAACAAGGAGGAGGAAUAAUGUUGGUUUUAAGUGGUAAUAUUAUAUUUUUGUGGUUGCCUAUUGGGAAAUUUCUAAUGUAGUUCUUCAUCUUGUACUUUUAAGAGAUUAGAGGUUUUUGAAAGGUUUAUGGAAAUGCUGAAAAUAAAGGUAAAUCUCUUUCCUCUAAA